rnacentral:rRNA from 1 species
AUGCAGGUAACCGGGGAUGCCAGGAAGCUCACCACACAUCUCAGAAAAUGCCUCGAGCCAAAGGGGUUCUUCAUUGUUAUUGAUGACAUGAGAACGGAACUUUGGAACACCAUGAAAAAUUCUUUCCCUGCAGUGAUGGGAGUGAGCAGCAGAGUGGUGGUCACCACGCCCAUUCAGUACAUAGCAAAUGCCUGCAGCUCUGCUCACGGUCAUGUGUACGCAAUGAGAACUCUUAGCGAGGAUCUCUCAAGACAGUUGUUCCUCAAAGAAGCUUCCUUGGAGGAUUCAUCGCCUAGUAAUGAGCUUGGUUCAGAAGCACUAAAGAAAUGCGAUGGUCUGCCACUCGCUCUCGUUACCACAGCCCAAUUCUUGCAGAGUCGAGGUGAUCCGACACGGACAGAGUGGGCAAGGCUGUGCAGCAACUUGGGUGAACAUCUGGAAACGGAGGACACCUUAGCGAGAAUGAAGCACGUGGUUCGCCACAGCUAUGCCGGUCUUCCUGACCAUUUUAUCAAGACAUUCUUGCUAUAUCUGGGAAUUUUCCCGCGUGAUCGCCCAGUGAGAAGAGAAAGGCUAAUAAGGCGAUGGCUAGCUGAAGGAUUAUUUGGAGGGGAUGCUGAACUCGCUACGUGCUAUUUCAAGAAGCUGAUCGACCACAGUAUCAUUCGGCCUAUUGAUUGGAGCAGCAACGCAGAGGUGAAGACGUGCCAAACUCACGGCAUGAUGCUCGAGUUCAUCCUACACAAGUCCAGAUGUGAGAACUUCGUUACCUUGUCACAUGAUCAGGCACGCCUAACCGGUAAGGCCCGUUGGCUUUCUCUGCAUCAUGAAAGAGCUGGGCAGGCUAGGAUGAGUCCAGAGGAUUUACCCUUUGUUCGGUCUCUAACAGUCUUUGGCAAGGCACACAAAUCUGUUUUGGAUUUCUCCAAGUACGAACUGCUGCGAGUUUUGGAUCUGGAAGAAUGUGAGGAUGAAUUGGGUGACAAGCAUCUCAGAGAGAUAUGCAACCUACUGCUACUUAGGUACCUAAGCCUUGGUGGCCCCAUUUCAGUGCUUCCCAAGGAGAUUGCAAAGCUAAAACUUUUGGAGACACUUGAUAUAACAAGAACCAAGAUAGAGAUUCUGCCUAUACAAGUCAUCGAGCUCCCGAGAUUGAUUCAUCUGUUUGGAAGGUUCAAACUUGAAGAUGCAAGUCAGAGAAUAAGUAAGCUGAAGAACUUCCUUUCAGAAAAAAGUAACUUGCAGACGCUAUCAGGAUUUGUUGCUGACAAAGGAUUUGCACAACUCAUGGAUCAUAUGAAUAACUUGACAAAGGUGAAAAUAUGCUGUGAAUCCACUAUGGAUGUCAGCAACAUAACUCAUCUUUCCAAGUCAAUUAACGGGUUCAUCCAGAGAGGCACUCAUGCGAGUGACAAGUGUUCACUCUCACUGAAUUUCAACAAAUGGUCCGAAGACUUGCUGAGUUUUUCCUUGGAAAAAACAUGCUUUCUCAGUAAACUGAAGCUAAAAGGCAACAUCUUGAGUUUACCUCCAUUUGUUACCACGUUGGCUGGUCUCACCGAGCUGUCUCUUUCAUCCCUCGGCAAGUUCACUGGGGAUAUACUUGCUGCUGUAAGCAUAGUGCGCUCCUUGCAGUACCUGAAGCUGGUAGCAAGUCACAUGGACAAGUUUGUCAUAAGAAAGGGGCAGCUCAAUAUACUACUACGCCUGUGCAUCGUGGUGCAAUCCAUGGAAGACCUAGAAAUCGAAGAGGAUGCGCUUCCGUGUUUGGAGUCCCUCCAGCUGCUCUCUAAGGAUUUAGAUGGUUUUGGUGGCAUAAGAAUGGAAUUCCUUGGACGUCUCAAGGAGGUGGCUCUCGACGAUGGAGUGAGCGACGAAGCAAAACAGGAGUGGGAAGAAGCAGCAAAGAAACACCCGAGACGACCCAAAGUCUUGUUUGUGAAAACAAUGUGA